UGAGUUUGAUCCUGGCUCAGGAUGAACGCUGGCGGCGUGCCUAACACAUGCAAGUCGAGCGAUCUCUUCGGAGAGAGCGGCGGACGGGUGAGUAACGCGUGGGUAACCUGCCCUGUACACACGGAUAACAUACCGAAAGGUAUACUAAUACGGGAUAACAUANGAAAGUCGCAUGGCUUUUGUAUCAAAGCUCCGGCGGUACAGGAUGGACCCGCGUCUGAUUAGCUAGUUGGUAAGGUAAUGGCUUACCAAGGCAACGAUCAGUAGCCGACCUGAGAGGGUGAUCGGCCACACUGGAACUGAGACACGGUCCAGACUCCUACGGGAGGCAGCAGUGGGGAAUAUUGCACAAUGGGCGAAAGCCUGAUGCAGCAACGCCGCGUGAGCGAUGAAGGCCUUCGGGUCGUAAAGCUCUGUCCACAAGGAAGAUAAUGACGGUACUUGAGGAGGAAGCCCCGGCUAAC
rnacentral:rRNA from 1 species